UGUUGUGACCCAAAGCAGUGAACGCUGUGCUGCACUGUCAAGCGGCUUUUGACUCUAAGACCCCCUGAGCAGGGCACUCCUGUGGUCAGGCCUUAUCUGCCUCACUCCCACUCUCGAUAAGGGCCGAGUCAUUCCCUUAUCUGUAACCUCCGGGAAGCUCCAGCACACCCUGGAGGUUUCUGUAACACAGAGCCAGGAUUCAGCCGCAUCAGCUACUUUUCGCAUUUCCCUCUCUGAUCACGCUCUUUAGCCAAGAACAAAUUUGCACUCAGCCCAGGAGUUCCAAGGCCGCCUCCGAGCAAACACUCACUGGUGCAGAUUGUUGCUCCUGUAGUUCCUUGAAGAAUACAGCAUAAUGCAACCUGGAACUGCCGGGAGAAGCAGCAGCAGCCUCGUUCUCUCUCAGAGCUUUCCACGCUCUCCUGGCUCUGGCAUUUGUUCUCUCUCCAGAGUCCUCAGAUUUAAACUAUCUGCAGCUGCCAAAGAGCUCCUCUCAGAGCCUGCACAAGACAAAUAGCUUGCUGCUGUAGACUACCUGAAUCAGUCCCACAUUGCACACCUAGGAUUCAAAUAAAAACAUGUUUAUAUCCACAACCGAGGAGAAUUGUG